UUACAACAGCCACCGUUUACUAGAAAAUAGUUAUCCUACUUGGAUAACUGUGGCAAUUCUAGAGCUAAUACAUGCAAAAAAGCUCUGCCCGCAAGGAACGAGCGCAUUUAUUAGAAUAAAAACCAAUCGGGUUUCGGCCCGUAAUUUGGUGAAUCUGAAUAACUUUGCCAAUCGCACAGUCCUAGUACUGGCGAUGUAUCUUUCAAGUGUCUGCCUUAUCAACUUUCGAUGGUAGGUUAUACGCCUACCAUGGUAGUAACGGGUAACGGAGAAUAAGGGUUCGACUCCGGAGAGGGAGCCUGAGAAACGGCUACCACAUCCAAGGAAGGCAGCAGGCGCGCAAAUUACCCACUUCCAGAACGGAGAGGUAGUGACGAAAAAUAACGAGACAGUCCUCUUCGAGGUCUGUCAUCGGAAUGGGUACAAUUUAAAUCCUUUAACGAGGAUCUAUUGGAGGGCAAGUCUGGUGCCAGCAGCCGCGGUAAUUCCAGCUCCAAUAGCGUAUAUUAAAGUUGUUGCGGUUAAAACGCUCGUAGUUGGAUCUGCGGCCUCGGAGAACGGUCCCCCGAAAGGGUGGUCACUGUCUCUCCUAGCCUAAAUUCGAGUCGUCUCUAGGUGCUCUUUACCGAGUGCCUUGAGUGACUAGAACGUUUACUUUGAAAAAAUUAGAGUGCUUAAAGCAGGCGAAAUAGCCUGAAUAAGGUGCAUGGAAUAAUGGAAUAGGACCUCGGUUCUAUUUUGUUGGUUUUCGGAACCUGAGGUAAUGAUUAAGAGGAACAGACGGGGGCAUUCGUAUUCCGGCGCUAGAGGUGAAAUUCUUGGACCGCCGGAAGACGGACAACUGCGAAA
rnacentral:rRNA from 1 species